UCCUACGGGGGGCAGCAGUGAGGAAUAUUGGUCAAUGGGCGCGAGCCUGAACCAGCCAAGUCGCGUGAGGGAUGACGGCCCUCGGGUUGUAAACCACUUUAGUAGAGAACGAAAAGGAGCUAUCGAAUAAAUAGCUCUGCUGACGGUACUCUAAGAAUAAGCACCGGCUAACUACGUGCCAGCAGCCGCGGUAAUACGUAAGGUGCGAGCGUUAAUCGGAAUUACUGGGCGUAAAGGGUGUGCAGGCGGCUGAGUAAGACAGAUGUGAAAUCCCCGGGCUUAACCUGGGAACCGCAUAUGUGACU
rnacentral:rRNA from 1 species